rnacentral:rRNA from 1 species
GACGAACGCUGGCGGCGUGCUUAACACAUGCAAGUCGAACGGAAAGGCCCUGCUUUUGUGGGGUGCUCGAGUGGCGAACGGGUGAGUAACACGUGAGUAACCUGCCCUUGACUUUGGGAUAACUUCAGGAAACUGGGGCUAAUACCGGAUAGGAGCUCCUGCUGCAUGGUGGGGGUUGGAAAGUUUCGGCGGUUGGGGAUGGACUCGCGGCUUAUCAGCUUGUUUGUGGGGUAGUGGCUUACCAAGCCUUUGACGGGUAGCCGGCCUGAGAGGGUGACCGGCCACAAUGGGACUGAGAUACGGCCCAGACUCCUACGGGAGGCAGCAGUGGGGAAUAUUGCACAAUGGGCGGAAGCCUGAUGCAGCAACGCCGCGUGCGGAAUGACGGCCUUCGGGUUGUAAACCGCUUUCGCCUGUGACGAAGCGUGAGUGACGGUAAUGGGUAAAGAAGCACCGGCUAACUACGUG